UACGGGGGGAGCAAGCGUUGUUCGGAUUUACUGGGCGUAAAGGGCGCGUAGGCGGUCGUGACAAGUCACUUGUGAAGUCUCCGGGCUUAACUCGGAACGGUCGAAGUGAUACUGUCGGACUAGAGUACAGAAGGGGCAACUGGAAUUCUCGGUGUAGCGGUGAAAUGCGUAGAUAUCGAGAGGAACACCUGGCGGCGAAGGCGGGUUGCUGGGCUGAUACUGACGCUGAGGCGCGGAAAGCCCAGGGGAGGCGAACGGG
rnacentral:rRNA from 1 species